rfam:Angiostrongylus cantonensis strain Taiwan genome assembly, scaffold: ACAC_contig0003243
GCCGCCAUAGCUCAGUCGGUUAGAUCGUGGGUCUAAUAAGCCCAAUGUCGCAGGUUCGACCCCUACUGAAUGCA